ACGGGGGGACUCCUACGGGAGGCAGCAGUGGGGAAUAUUGGACAAUGGGGGCAACCCUGAUCCAGCGAUGCCGCGUGAGUGAUGAAGGCCCUAGGGUUGUAAAACUCUUUCGUCAGGGAAGAUAAUGACGGUACCUGAAGAAGAAGAUCCGGCUAACUCCGUGCCAGCAGCCGCGGUAAU
rnacentral:rRNA from 1 species